UACGUAGGGUGCGAGCGUUGUCCGGAAUUACUGGGCGUAAAGAGCUCGUAGGCGGUUUGUCGCGUCGUCCCGUGAAAACUUGGGGCUCAACCCCAAGCUUGCGGGCGAUACGGGCAGACUUGAGUACUGCAGGGGAGACUGGAAGUCCUGGUGUAGCGGUGAAAUGCGCAGAUAUCAGGAGGAACACCGGUGGCGAAGGCGGGUCUCUGGGCAGUAACUGACGCUGAGGAGCGAAAGCGUGGGUAGCGAACAGG
rnacentral:rRNA from 1 species